rnacentral:rRNA from 1 species
CUAUGCCUGUUGUACUCUGUGAUGACUCUGGAUAACUUCACUGAUCGCAGUCGGCCUUGUGUCGGCGACGGAUCUUUCAAAUGUCUGCCCUAUCAACUGUCGAUGGUAGGUGACCUGCCUACCAUGGUGAUAACGGGUAACGGGGAAUCAGGGUUCGAUUCCGGAGAGGGAGCCUGAGAAACGGCUACCACUUCUAAGGAAGGCAGCAGGCGCGAAAAUUACCCACUCCCGGCACGGGGAGGUAGUGACGAAAAAUACGAAUACGGGACUCAACUGAGGCUCCGUAAUUCGAAUGAGUACACUUUAAAUCCUUUAACGAGGACCAAUUGGAGGGCAAGUCUGGUGCCAGCAGCCGCGGUAACUCCAGCUCCAAAAGCGUAUAUUAAAGUUGCUGCAGUUAAAAAGCUCGUAGUUGGAUCUGGGUGGUGUGGCCACAUGCCGUUGCUCGUACUACUGCCUAGACUACGGUCAAGGUGGGAGUGCGGGUCGGUGUAGUGGCCGUGCAACU